rnacentral:lncRNA from 1 species
GUUAUUAAUUAUUUCCUUUCUUUUUCAAGAAACUCCCUCUCUGAUGUCCUUAUGUACACAUUGUUGUCAAUCAGGCUAUCCUCUGUUCACACUCGAUGCUUGACCUUUAUGCCUUUGAAAAGUAAAGGAAAGGAGAGUUAAAGCAUAACUUAAAUUAUAUUAUCAUAUGAUGAUGUCCUGCUGGUGUUUGUAAAUCUUGCCAUACCAAUCCUACACGAUAUUUCGUAAUAGCAGUGAAGAACCAACUAGGAAGAAUUCACUUGGAUUUCUACUCUUCAAAUGAGAACAAAAAGUCAAUGAAUUCACCACAUACUUAUCAGUUUGUGGUGAAUUGUUACAUUUCAAAUUGCGUCAUUUGCACAGAGUAUUUCAUGCAAAUAAUAAGUAUUUUGCAAAUAAAUAAAUAUUUAUCUAUGUUAACAUAA